rnacentral:rRNA from 1 species
AGUGAACGCUGGCGGUAGGCCUAACACAUGCAGGUCGAACGGCAGCACAGUAAGAGCUUGCUCUUACGGGUGGCGAGUGGCGGACGGGUGAGGAAUACAUCGGAAUCUACUUUUUCGUGGGGGAUAACGUAGGUAAACUUACGCUAAUACCGCAUACGACCUACGGUUGAAAGCAGGGGAUCUUCGGACCUUGCGCGAUUGAAUGAGCCGAUGUCGGAUUAGCUAGUUGGCGGGGUAAAGGCCCACCAAGGCGACGAUCCGUAGCUGGUCUGAGAGGAUGAUCAGCCACACUGGAACUGAGACACGGUCCAGACGCCUAAGGGAGGCAGCAGUGGGGAAUAUUGGACAAUGGGCGCAAGCCUGAUCCAGCCAUACCGCGUGGGUGAAGAAGGCCUUCGGGUUGUAAAGCCCUUUUGUUGGGAAAGAAAAGCAGCAGGUUAAUACCCCGCUGUUCUGACGGUACCCAAAGAAGAAGCACCGGCUAACUUCGUG